rnacentral:lncRNA from 1 species
UUUAUAAAUUUAGCGAUAAGUAGUUUUUGCAAUAUGCAGAGAAAUGAAGAAAAUGAAGAGCUAAGUGCUAAAAGUACUUGUCACACAAGAAAAAUGUUUUGAGAAAAUCUACUUUGAUCAGAGAUAUAACACUUUUAAGAUUUAAGGAUGUAAGGAUUUAAAAUGGCUGAUCAAAGUAGAUUUUCUGAAAACAUUUUUUUUGUGACUUACGUACUUUAGCACUAAGCGCUUUAAAUUGAUGACUGGGGCAAAACCAAAACAUCAUUUUGUUUUCUUCUUCCACAUCAUCACUGUAAUCUGGAGUGAAACCUACCUAAAACUUACCUCAGUUUGUCUUGAAGUGAUUUCUUAUUUUGGAACAAAAAGGGCCUUUUGCAUAUAAGCCCAGAAUGGAGGUGAAGAUCUGCCUCAUUUUAAAUACAAACUUAUUGGUGGCAGAAGGGAUGACAAAGGAUUCAGGAAUGUAGUUAUUAACAACUACACAUUCUUUUUUUAUUUUUAUCUUUUAUUCUUGAUUGAUUUUGAUCUAUUUAUGUGUGUUUGUAUUUUUAAAUUGUUCUGAAAACUGUUGUUUUGCAUUCCAACAUUAAACUGUUUGUACCGAAACUUGAAGACUAUCUUCAGGAAUUGCAUUUUCCGAAUCUCUUAUUUUAACUUUCUUCUUAAUCAGCAUUAAGUUUUUCAGUCUAUAAAUGUUGCAUAACUUCUUUAAUACCAUCCAAAAAAGUUUAACUGUACAGUAACUUGAAAUCGGUAAUUUCUACGGUUACUUUAUAGUUUAAAAGACGAAUAGAUUUAUUUUUUUUAGCUGCAUGUAAGUUGACAUCUCCCAAACUAUAAAAACAUAGUUUUUACUAUAUUUAGAGACGUUAAAAAUCUCUCUACUGCAUUCCUUCCAGGUUUGUCAAGUCUUUUUAUUGUUAACUUUUUAUUUUCACAAAGCUAUGGAACAUCGGAUCUGCAAACUAUUUAUGUAACAGCAUAAUUGAACUUGGAAACUGUGAAAUCAUGAUUACAGAUUGAAUCAGAGGUGAGCAAGAAGGUUUUAGAAUUAUUGAUAUAUACGAAUCACGCAAAAAAAUCAAGAAAGACAUUGUGUGCGCAUAAUACUAGUAUCUUGCGGAAACAAUAAUAAUGAUGUCACUAUUGAGAAUGUAAAAAACCUCUGAGAAUCGCAUAAAAGUUUGUGAUAGUAAACAUUUUAGCUGGAAAACUUAAAAGCCUAAUUAUCCAUAUCAAGUUAUACAACAUAAAGUUAGAGCAGCAGUUUCAGCCUGCCAUACAAAAGAUUACGACUGUUUUAACUAUAAAAAAAAAAGUUGAAUAAAAGACAAUACUAAAAUGGCCUCUUUUAGGAGGAUGUUGAACGUGAUAAGAUGGAUCAGGAAAUGGAAAAAGUUACGAAUAGGUCCUUAUGUACUAAAAAGUUUUAUAUUUGCUAUGUAUGUUUAAUUAUUUGUUAAACAGCAUGGAUAUAACAUUUGUUUUUUUUUUAAUAUACCUUAUUUGUGCUAGUUAUAUAUUUUAGACGAAAAAUAUAGACUAAACAUUAGAUUAAUAAACUUUGUAUAAAAAAACAAGUGUCUUAUAAUGUAAUUUUAGUGAUACAUAGUAAAUAUUUAUAAGCCCG